rnacentral:sRNA from 1 species
UAAGGUUACUUGUUUUAUAGUUUUAUGAAAUGACCCCUUGAUUCAGGCUUUUGAUACAUUAAGAUUUUAUAACGCACGAUAUGUGCAAGGAGGUUUCAUAUUAUGAAACAAGGUACUGUUAAAUGGUUCAACGCUGAUAAAGGUUACGGUUUUAUCACUACUGAAGAUGGUGACGUAUUCGUUCACUUCUCAGCUAUCAACAAAGAAGGUUUCAAGACUCUAGAAGAAGGCGAAAAGGUUACAUUGGACGUUGAAGACGGCGACCGUGGACCACAAGCUGCUAACGUUACUCCUGCAUAAGGAUAACCUCUUAGUUAACUUUUAGUUUAAAAAGAGAUCAAAAACACCCGAGAUUUUCUCGGGUGUUUUUUU